AGUGAACGCUGGCGGUAGGCCUAACACAUGCAAGUCGAACGGCAGCACAGUAAGAGCUUGCUCUUACGGGUGGCGAGUGGCGGACGGGUGAGGAAUACAUCGGAAUCUACUUUUUCGUGGGGGAUAACGUAGGGAAACUUACGCUAAUACCGCAUACUACCUACGGGUGAAAGCAGGGGAUCUUCGGACCUUGCGCGAUUGAAUGAGCCGAUGUCGGAUUAGCUAGUUGGCGGGGUAAAGGCCCACCAAGGCGACGAUCCGUAGCUGGUCUGAGAGGAUGAUCAGCCACACUGGAACUGAGACACGGUCCAGACUCCUACGGGAGGCAGCAGUGGGGAAUAUUGGACAAUGGGCGCAAGCCUGAUCAAGCCAUACCGCGUGGGUGAAGAAGGCCUUCGGGUUGUAAAGCCCUUUUGUUGGGAAAGAAAAGCAGCAGGUUAAUACCCCGCUGUUCUGACGGUACCCAAAGAAUAAGCACCGGCUAACUUCGUG
rnacentral:rRNA from 1 species